AUACGGAGGGGGUUAGCGUUGUGCGGAAUUACUGGGCGUGAAGCGCACGUAGGCGGAUUGGAAAGUUGGGGGUGAAAUCCCAGGGCUCAACCCUGGAACUGCCUCCAAAACUAACAGUCUAGAGUUCGAGAGAGGUGAGUGGAAUUCCAAGUGUAGAGGUGAAAUUCGUAGAUAUUUGGAGGAACACCAGUGGCGAAGGCGACUCACUGGCUCGAUACUGACGCUGAGGUGCGAAAGCGUGGGGAGCAAACAGGAUUAGAAACCCCGGUAGUCC
rnacentral:rRNA from 1 species